rnacentral:tRNA from 1 species
GAGGGUAUAGCUCAGUGGUAGAGCAUGUGCUUAGCAUGCACGAGGUCCUGGGUUCAAUCCCCCAUACCUCCA